CAGAUCUAAUACCAAUUGUAAUAAAAUUGGAACGAUAUAGAGAAGAUUAGCAUGGCCUCUGCGCAAGGAUGACACUCACAAAUCGAGAAAUGGUCCAAAUUUUU